rnacentral:rRNA from 1 species
GACAGAGGGUGCAAACGUUGUUCGGAUUUACUGGGCGUAAAGCGCGUGUAGGCGGCUUUGCAAGUCGGAUGUGAAAGCCCACGGCUCAACCGUGGAAGUGCAUUCGAAACUGCAUGGCUUGAGUCUCGGAGAGGAAGGUGGAAUGCUUGGUGUAGAGGUGAAAUUCGUAGAUAUCAAGCAGAACACCUGCGGCGAAGGCGGCCUUCUGGACGAUGACUGACGCUGAGACGCGAAAGCGUGGGGAGCAAACAGG